rnacentral:rRNA from 1 species
AGCAGCCGCCGCGGUAAUCCGAAGGGGGCUAGCGUUGUUCGGAUUUACUGGGCGUAAAGGGCGCGUAGGCGGACUGAUAAGUCAGGGGUGAAAUCCCAAGGCUCAACCUUGGAACUGCCUUUGAUACUGUUUGUCUUGAGUUCGAGAGAGGUAAGUGGAACUGCGAGUGUAGAGGUGAAAUUCGUAGAUAUUCGCAAGAACACCAGUGGCGAAGGCGGCUUACUGGCUCGAAACUGACGCUGAGGCGCGAAAGCGUGGGGAGCAAACAGGAUUAGAUACCCCUGUAGUCCCUGUCUCUUAUAC